GGAUGUGAGGGCUCUCUGACUGUGACAUCUGUCACCUCAUUGGUUGCCAGACCAGGUUUGAUUCGCUGAUCUGGCUAGGAGGGUGUCCCCUUUCUCCCUCAAUACUUCAUUUGUGACCCUCCAGAAGCUGCAUGCGUGGUGGAAGAGGAUAACCACCCUUAGUAGAGGAGGACCAUUUCCUCAGUCAAGGGUAUAUGAGUAGCCGCACUCCCUUGCUAGAACCUCCAAAGAAAUUCUCAAAAGUUCUGGAAAGAACAUUACAACAUCCUUUCCUGUGUGGAGUUAAUUGAGAAAUCCUGGGCCAAUGUUUCUCUAA
rnacentral:snRNA from 1 species